GUCAAUAUAUAUUGGGCGUUUUUCUUUUUUAGUUCAGAGCAGAGCUCGAACUGUCAAAAAAAUAAUUGUGUUUCUUUUUGAGCUCUGAGCGUUCAGAGCUUCAAAUUCGUGUUUCUUUUUUAGUUCUGAACAUGUUCAGAGCGCGCUCUGUGAGCUCAGAAUAAAAUAACAGAGUAAACGGAGUAAAAUGCUGAGCACAAACAAUUUGAUAUCUGAAAGCCGGGAAAUAAAAAAAAAUCAUCAUCAAAACAAUAAAAAUGGCGGAAGAGGCUGGUUGCUCUGGUGUAGAAGGCGUCAAAUGGACCAACGAUAUGACUGUUUUUCUGAUUAAUUUGAUUAAGGAGAAUUUUGAACGCCUUCAAACUAACAUAAAAAAAACUAUAUACCAAAAAAUGACAGUUUAGUGCUCAAGUUGUUUCAUAAUUAAAUCAGAGAGCUCUGAACAUACUCUGCUCAGAACUCUACUCUACUCUACUCUGUUCGCUCAGAGUAUGCUCAGAGCUCAGCUCUGAACUAAAAAAGAAAAACGCCC